GACUGAGUCAGAUAAUGCCCCAAUUUUUGGGGAAUUACCCAACCUGCUGCCUUUAAGACCAGCUCCGAACAUCUCCAUGAACCCCAAACUCCACAUUGCUGGACCCUGUGAGCACUGUGCAUCCAGAAGGGAGGAAGGAAGGCUGAAAUAUUCCUCUGCAAGAGCAGGGAGGUCCCAGUGAAGCUCUGCUACUUGCAGGGUGAUAAGCAGAGGUGGAAAGGGGAAUCAAGGGAUCAUCCAAUCCCAGCAGAUGAGGCUGUUCUUAGAGCAGGGCAGAAACAAUACUAUGGUAGAUGAGCAAGGCUUUGUGAAUGAAGCUAGAAGUUUGCACAUGAAAAGAAUGGAUUGUGAACAAUUUCAGAAUCUUAAAAAGGCAAGAAAAAAAAAAAGUCUGAAAUGCCAAAAUAGGGGGUGUGGGCAAUUCCAGAGGGACCUUUUAUUCUACAAUUGAAGAAAAAUGAAUAAUAGUAAAUAGAAGAGAAAAUCAGUAUCAAAACAAAGCACAUUGAUCAACCAGAUACCAUUUCACCCCACCAAAACCCUCGUUUCAGUCUGAAGAAAUCAUCAGAACAAUGCUCCAAUUCUCAGAUAUCCACAGGACACUACAAGCGUUUUCCACUGCAGGACCUACAGAGAAACUACUCUCAGCACCUUCCUUUCAAAUCCAGCUAUUUGUUGGCUCUGUCUCCGACUCUGAAACACCAUGACAGAGAACCUGGAGCCUCUGACCUUGUCUGGUGAUGCCUUUAAUCCCAGUGUUUUAUCCAAUACCAUCUUCAAAACAAACUAUUUUUUAUUGAAAAGUUUGCUUUCUACCUUGCUCUACACAUCUUUUGGUUUUCAAGCUUUGGAUGCAGUUGUAUUAGGGCUCUCUGAGCUGGAGCCUCAUGGGGAAGUGAUUUAAUUGUCACAACGAGCCCAAGCUCGUUGUCUGGCAGAGCGCCAGCAUGGGCUUUGGCGUGUUAGCAGAGCUGCAUGGAUUAGAUUUUGCUUUUCACAUUGGUGCCUUGGCUUUUGUCCUUUGAGUGGUAUUGCUUGCAUGGCAAGGAAGGAGGAGGCAAACUCUGAGGAGGCCAAGAUGGAGAAGAUAAACUUUAGGCAGCAGAUCCCACUUCUGGGUGUCCGUGCCACUCAGCGUGUCCCAGUGCUUUGUGCUGAGAUCCAAAGCCAGCGCAGGAGUGUCUCAGAGGUUCCCCUCCUGAGCUGGCUGCAGGGCAGGAGGGUUAAGCACAGCCCAUGCUCAGUGCUCCUGUGAGUGGCAGCAAGAAAUGAAAGUGAACUGCUUGGGGUUUGGUGUGUGUUGGCCCAGGUGAGCAGGUGGGCUCCCUGCAUGGAGCAGUGGUGGGAGUUCUUAUGUGGCUUUAAUGCAGGACUUUGUUCUGAAUCUGCUUUUUCUUCAAUUAUUAAGACUUUUUGCUUGGGCUCUGCUUUUUCUUCUCCAUACCUCCUUAGGCUAUAAAUGGAGUUUCAUUUUGGGUUACAGGCCAUCAAUGUUUGAGUCAAUGUUUGGAGACAACCUUUGCCCUCUCUAUCCUUCCAUCUUUCCUCCCCACCACAGUAACAUCCCAAACUUUUUGUCAUAGUCACAUAAAGCCAGAAAAUACAACUGAAAUUAGUGAUUCAGAACACCUCUCAAAGUGCAGAUGAUACCACAAAUAACUCAGAGUGUUUUCAGGACUAUGUGGGUGUUUGUCUCAACCUCUUGGUAGGGAUGGCUGUACAUGACUGUGUCUCACCUACUUUUUCAUUUUAUUUUGUAUAUCUUAGGCAAAGUAUUGAUUUAUAUGUAUGAUAUUCAUCUUGUAUACACAGACAUGUUUCAGCCUCAUUUGGGGAGCCCCAGUGAUCCAGAAUUUUAACUGGCAGAUGGAGUGGGGAGCUCUGUUGCAGUAAGUUCAGCUCUUCACAAGGUUCAGCAGUAGGAUGCAGUUGCAGAUUUGGUGUUCUAAGAAGAAUUCCAGCUUUCUGAAAUCCCAGUGAUAAUGAGUCUUAAAUUCAUAUGACUGAUAGAAAGAAUAACUCAAAUGGGAAUCUUUCCCCCACUAGAAGAGACUUCCACAUAAUUAACUAAUCUCCUAUUCAGGCAAAAAUCCUAUGGGAAAAGGUUGGGUUUUGGUCUGAAUAAAACAUGAUAAAAUCCACACUGAGAAAAAUGAUGGUUGGCGUACAAUGGUGUGUUUACAAUGAGAUACCUGAGCAAAUAUUGUACUUCCUUUUGGCUUAAUUGGUGCCAUAUGUUAAAGAGAUAAAUUGUGCCACUCCAUGUUAAGGAAAAAAUCCUCCUAUUAGGUUCUCAAAGCCCAAAUAAUUGUCUGAAUGAUGAAGACAAUAUUUUUGCCCAAAUGUGGCUGUUUGAAAUGCAUAAGUUACAGGAUAGAGCACUGUUUUGGUUGGACUCUAUAUUGCAGAGCUAGAGGAAUAACAGAUUUUGGUUGAGGUUCCUAUGGCUUCACAGGAUUACACCUGUAGACCUGGGGGAGAAGUGUUCCUCAAACACAAGUGAAGAGGGAUUUAGAAGCCAAAUUCUGUGUCCUUUCCUCAUGAAAGUCUCAUUUUUCCCUGUCAGGUAUCUCAAGUAUUGUAUUCCAGGAGCUCUACGUGAUGCAUGCAUAGAAAAUUUCCACAUCAAGCCACCCUAUUUGAGCUAAAACCUGUCUUCCUGAAAGAUGUCUGAGUAUUCAUGUACAGCCUUCAUGUGACAGAGAAUCCAUCAGGUAUCCAGGUACUUUCUCAUAUUACUUGAUUACCUUCACUCAAACCCGCAGGACAGAUUUGUAGUUUGAAGUGGUGUGUGAUCCACUCUUGGCAUCUCACCAGUAAUUAUUCUGCUGAACAAAGUUGCCCACUUUCAUCACAUAUCACAUAUCCUUUCCCUAAGCAGAUGAAGAUGUCCCUUAACAUAUUUAAGGAUGGAUCUAGACUGAGCCUCCCUAGCCUCCUGCCACAAAGCCUGGCUUCCAAAACUAAUGUAAUUCUUGUCACUGUUCCUCAGAGAAGGAUUUUGCUAAUGCUGUGCAUGAAAAUAAUACAACCUUUCUUCUGCUUGAUAUUCCCCUGCUCAUAUCUACAAGGAUCCCAUUUGCUGCUUUAUUUACAGCACCACACAGAGUUUGCAUUCAGUGAGUUGUGCACAAUCCCCCCUCAGUCCUUGACACCACUGCUGUUGGGCAGAAGACAUUUGCCUUUUGUUUAUAUUUGAUGUGUGUUCUUCCUUGCUGGACAUAUGACUUUGCCUUUGACUUUGCUGUUGAACAAGCCCUUUUUAUCAAACAACCAGAGUCAGGCAGCACAACUGAUUCAUUGCCAGGCAGGAAUUGCUAUUCUGCCCACUUUGUGGUUAUGCCCACUUUUUGCCAUCAGGGAUUAUAUAUUUUCUUUCACAUCUUUAAUAAAGCUACUCAAGAGUACUGAGCAAAAAGAAAAUCUUACUGUGAGUCUAUAAGAAUAUGCACUGCAUACUAAUAUCUCACUGAUCCUUAUUUUCUAAAAUACAUUUUGUUACUUGUUGUUAGUCCACUAAAUAAGGGCCACAUGGAUAUCUUUAGUGUUACUUAAAUAAGACUAAAUAUGAAUUACAGAAAUCUUUUUUCAUCAGUGGUUGCUUCCAUCAAGCAAGUCCCUGUAAUUUAAUUUAAUAAUUGUUUUUAUUUUUAAAUAGUUCCUCUUGAUCCUUGUUGAAAAUUUCUUUUUUCUUAGGGAGUAGGAUUUUAAUUUUUUUAAAAAUUUCAAAUAUAUUGGUGUCCAGGCCUACAUUUUGCUGGCACUUAUGAAAUGGAAUAACAAUGUGAUCCUUUGCAUCUAGAAAACCAUCAUUUUCUAACCUGAUGUACAACUCAUUAUGUUCUACAAAAACAAGGUCUGAUGCAGAAAUACCCCAAGCUGAUUUCAAUUAUUUUUAUAUAGUUUAUAUAUUUAGAAACUUACAUAGAGCUUUUAGAAACCCCAGGGACGCCUCUCCACUGGUAGCACAAGACCUUCAGUAUCUGUUUCCCAGCCCUAAAUCUCCUGUCAGACAUAAAUGAUGAAUGCUGUCUCUGCACUCCAGGGUGGUCUGCAGUGGACACUUCACCCUCACAGGACUCCUCCCCAGCCAAGUGAGACACAGUUUGCAUAGGGGUUUCCAGGCAUUUUGAGCUUUACCCAAACAGUAUUUAUGGCAUGUCAGACUGCCUUUGAUGGAGACUGCCCUUUCUCUCUCCCUCCUUCUCUCACUCUUGUCUUGCCUAAGCAGGCUGUGGCAGUAAUUCUAGCACUCCCAUCAUCCGUAUCAUCACAGGCACGCUCGCUGGCUGUGGCUGCUUGGUUCUAUCUCCUCCCUGGUCAGAGGAAAUGGAAGUGCUGCAGCGGCUGCAGUCUGGCAGACCCGAGGACGAGUAGCAGCGGACAAACAGCGCCAGGACCGACCCCGGGGGCUGCGGGGGUGUGAGAAUGACUGCAGCAUCGCUGUUCUCCACUAAAGAAGGUCCUUACCCUGAGCAAGGGCCAGCAGAGCCCUCUCUGCUUACUGAAGAAGCCACUGAAGAAGAGGUGCAUGCUGUUGCCUUCAGUCCCUUCCCAAAGACUGUCCUGGUCUUAUCUCUGGCUCCUAACACGUAUUUUCCUCUCAGCAGGGAGUUAUUUGCCACCAACAGGUCUCCCUUGCUACAUUCAUCUGUCUUCCUCCUCUGUCCUUAAGAGGACAUUCCCCAGACACUCAUUUUUGCCUUCUCAUGGCAGAGUCUGUUAGCCCUACACAUAGCAGUGUGCUGUGUUUCUCCUUGUCCUGCUAAGAUUAAUUAUUCCCAGUCCUUUGCUUGAAAAUUUUUUCCCUCCCAGCUCAGCCAGGUGUUGGGAUACUCAUAGUCUGAGUGAUCUGAAGGAGCAAGGCCACUAGGGAAUGAACCCAUGAUGAUCCUGAAUCUGUUUGUUCAGGGAACCCUUAAAAUCCUUGUUGUGGAGGCCCUGGCUGCCCUCACUCUCUCAGGAGCACACGCUGAUGGCAAGGGGUGGUCUAUCUCACUGCACAGGGGUGUGGUAACACCUCUGAGGUUAUAUUUCUAUCCUGAUUUUUAAUUCAGACUAAGCUGGUGUUGAGGGAGAGAGAUGCUGAGACAGGUGGUGUCCUCUGUCCCUUGUUCGCUGCUCUCUCUUACUGGCUCUGUAUGGACAUAUGAUGAUUCAGUGGGGUUAGAUUUUGGGGUUGUGUUGGGCUUUUUCCUGUGCUGCUCCUCCAAGCUUACCCUGAAAAGGAGGGACUCAUGACCUUAGGAAGAGUCUCUGCAUUUUACCACUGGUGCUAUGCACAGCAUAACUCUGCCUUUAAAAUCUACAGGUCUUAUCAGCAGGGAAAUAGAUGCUCCUCUCCUCUCCUGCAUGUUCCCACCAAGGAUGGUGUCCUACCCCCUUCCCCUGGGGAUGGUACAACUGUCCUGAUAUGAAAUACAAGGGUGUGCCCUUUAUGGGAAGAUUCUUCGCUGAUUCCUUUCAUACAGAAGAGGCUGAAGUUGAGGUGAGACAGCUGUAUUUUUUGUUAAUCCUAACCCCAUUCUCUGCUAAUUUUGCAGAAGAAAUUUUGCAGGGAAGCACGUUUUCCUUUCUCUACAACCUGCAGCUGUAGGAGCAGUAAGUGCUGCUGUUGCUGAAGGUACAAAUGGACAAAGCUGCCUGUGGCCAAGUUCUCCCACUGCCUGGUGAUGCCAAACACAUCCUGCCAUGCAACUGAAUCUCUCUGCCUGCUUUGUUUCACACAGGAAUUUGACCUUAAACACCAGAGAACAAUCAAGGUCACCUGUCCAGGCAUAGUUUAGGCACUGCCUGGCCAUGGUGGGGACAAGGUCUGGCCAGCACUGCCAGGCCAUGGUGAGGAUGAGGUCUGGGCAGCCCUGUCUGUAGCUCUUCCCUGUCUUUCCUGCUGCCUCCUGGAUGGUGAGUGAUGUGGUAAAUCAGCUGUCACUUAGCAACGCUGCCGGCUGGGGAGCAGCGGCAGGUUUUGGUGCAGGAGUGACGCCUGCAAGGCUGUGCAGUGGUUGUUUCACCUUUCUUCCCCUCAGUGUUUUCCAGCCCAGCAUGCAUUUUCUUUUACUUGGUGUUUUCCCUGGACAUGUGGGUGCAGGUUUCCCACAGCUGAAGACAGCAGCCCCAGAUGCAGGAGCUGGGUUAUCCCUGCCAGCCCUCCCUGGGAUUGUUGUGCAGUGCUGGAGCACCCUGAGACCCCCCGUGAUUUGAGCUCCAACCCAGCCCAUGGUGGCUAGCAGCCAUCUGCCACCUGCAGAGCUGGUACAGCAGGACACAGAGAGGGCAGAAGGAUGGUUAGCUGGGGUUUAUUCUCUGAGGAAGAAAACAGCAUGGAGAAACACAGCGACCUGCCUACACAGGAGGCUCAGAUCAGCACUGCAAAAUCGUUGCCUGUGGGACUUGAGACCUGUUAAGCACACCUGAAACAUGGUCUGUGGCUCACACCAAGGGUGUGCACAUGGAUUUGUCCAGCUCUUCACCAUCUGCACAGCCAGGCCCCAAGAGCAGGGGGGCUGUGCAGCAGCAGGCAGAAAGAUCAUGGCUGUGUUCACUGGGGUAAGGGAUGGGGACCCCUCAGUUCUCCCAGAACUGCUUCUCACCUUGUCCCACCUCUUGGACUCAGGAGCAGGAAGAGAACCCUUCCAGCUUAAAGCUUUUAAACAGACAGUCUGCAAACUCUUCAAAAGAAUUCAAAUCUAUCAGAGAAAAGAACAAUUAGAGGGGCUUAAACCAUUUGUGAACCCAUCCUGGCACAUUUUGGAGCCUUUUCUGACAAGGGCUAAGAAACAGAUUCAGCUCUGCUCCCCACGUACCAGCCUUAUGACUCUAAGAAAUUUUUGUAAUGCAACAAUGCACUUAUUAAAAAAAAAAUAUAAAAGGAAGGCAUUUCCUUGAGAAUUAACUAGCAAAAUAUCUUGAAUAAGGGAGUUGCUCACUUGGUGGCCCAGUUGGAAUAAAACCCCUGGUUGCCACAAAACCAGGUGUUUUACACCCCUUUUUGAGAUAUAAUCUGAAUGCAUCUAUCCAAAACUCAGGCUUGCAAACCCAGCCCAUGUGAGGGAAAGGAUUUGCAAGUAUAAGGAAGCCAGACUGAGCUGGCAGAUUGGGCCAGGCUAGACAGGCCAAGCUGAACCAGUUGCUCAUUGAACAACAGCAUAGGACAAUAAAUGGAAGCACUGGGGGUAACUGCUAUGGUGGGAGCCUGGCUGAGAUGGAGGGAGCUGCCAAACCCCCAGCAAACAGGUCUGAGGCCACAUGGGUGGGACAGCCUGGCCCAAAGGGAGGAAUCUCCCAUUUUGAAUGACCUAUUGUAGGAGCAGACAUUCAAACAAAGGAGUAAGCAAGGCUGAAGGGCAGCCAGUGACAUGACUUGUAACUGAGGUUUAUGAGUAGCCUGGGGAGCUCUUCUCAGGGCUUGGUUCAUCACUGGAAGAAGAUGCCAAAGGGUGCCAUGAGAUAAAGCUGGAGAUCUAUCAAGA